AAGAACCCAUUUCAUUUGGAACUAAAAUUUUAACUUAUUGCAAGUGCUUUUCAGCAGAUGAAAAGCAGAAAAAUUUAGCUUUUCCAGCUAAAAAGAACUUUCGGGUUGUUCUUUUACAUUUUUAGCCACACCACACAUUUGUUCUUCUCUGCUGGUUCUUCUCUGCUGGUGCUGGUGUUCCCGACGGCUACCCUUUUUGGUCCAAAUUUUGUUCUCUGCUGGUUCUCUGCUGGUACUGGUGUUCCUCUGCUUGUUGGUUCUUUGUUCCUCUGCUGGUGCUUGUUCUUUGUUCCUUUUCUCCACUUUUCAAAAGCCUCUGGUUCUUUGUUCCUCUUCUCCCCACCACCGGUUGUGCCUGAAGCUAAAAAAUUUAGAACAUCGGGCAUUGAUCCUGAAUUCGAAGCGAAGUUGGACCAAAUGUUCAUGGGGAUAGUUGCAACAGGUGAUAAAGCAUGGGCACCUUCUUCUGGUACACUCCGUAGUGAUUUUUUUGAAGAUGUUAACAACGAAAUACCUGAAGAGAAUGAAGAAGAAAAUAUGAGAAAUGAUGUUCACAUUUUAAAUGAUGUUCACAUUUCAAAUGAUGUUCACAUCUCAAAUGAUGUUCAAAUGGAUGGAAACGGUCAAAAAAGAAAAAAACCCUGAGAUAUCAAGUUCACGUUUUAAAACUAGAAGAAAGAAAUCCUCAAAGCAAAUUGGAGGGUUUGCAAGAUUAUCUAGUCAAAUAGAAAAAUUAUGCAGUGCAGCUGACAAUAUGAGUCAAGCCACAUCUAGUUUGACUCCUGUUAUGGAUCUAUAUGGUAUUCCAUAAGCAGUCAAAGUGCUUGACAGCAUGUCGGAAGAAGUUCCAGAAGCUAGUCCGCUAUACUUUUUCGCACUUAAAUUACUGCUCAAUAAGGACAAGCGAAUUAUGUUUUUAUCAAUUAAUCCCAAGAUUAGAGCUUUAUGGCUUAAGACGGAAAUGGAGGAUAGUUGAAAAUUUUCUGAUCUUCUAGGGUUCAAAGAUAUCUAUUAUGUGACUAGCUGACAAUGCUAAACUAGUUUUAUCAAUAGAUAUUUAUGUUUGGUUUUUGGAUAUUGAAUUUAUGUUCUACUUAUUUAUGUGUAAUCUAGUUUUAUUAAUA